CCAACAUGGGGUCAAUGGGGUUGUGUUUGAUGGGGUGUUUUCACCAUUAGAUCUGUACCUAGCGAUACAGUAAGGGUUAGGGUUAGAGGAAACUUACCAAUGGAGUGAUACAGUAAGGGUUAGGGUUAGAGGAAACUUCCCCCUGGAGUGAUACAGUUAGAGUUAGAGGAAACUUCCCAAUGGAGUGAUACAGUAAGGGUUAGGGUUAGAGGAAACUUCCCCCUGGAGUGAUACAGUUAGAGUUAGAGGAAACUUCCCCCUGGAGUGAUACAGUUAGAGUUAGAGGAAACUUCCCCCUGGAGUGAUACAGUUAGGAUUAGAGGAAACUUCCCCCUGGAGUGAUACAGUUAGGGUUAGGGUUAGGGAAACAUCCCCCUGGAGUGAUACAGUUAGGGUUAGGGUUAGGGAAACAUCCCCCUGGAGUGAUACAGUUAGGGUUAGGGUUAGAGGAAACUUCCCCCUGGAGUGAUACAGUUAGGGUUAGAGGAAACUUCCCCUGGAGUGAUACAGUUAGGGUUAGGGUUAGGGUUAGGGAAACAUCCCCUUGGAGUGAUACAGUUAGGGUUAGAGGAAACUUCCCCCUGGAGUGAUACAGUUAGAGUUAGGAUUAGAGGAAACUUCCCCCUGGAGUGAUACAGUUAGAG
rnacentral:lncRNA from 13 species